rnacentral:rRNA from 1 species
UACGGGGGGGGCAAGCGUUGUUCGGAAUUACUGGGCGUAAAGGGCUCGUAGGCGGCCAACUAAGUCGGACGUGAAAUCCCUCAGCUUAACUGGGGAACUGCGUCUGAUACUGAUUGGCUUGAGGACAGGAGAGGAACGCGGAAUUCCAGGUGUAGCGGUGAAAUGCGUAGAUAUCUGGAGGAACACCGGUGGCGAAGGCGGCGUUCUGGACUGUUUCUGACACUGAGGAACGAAAGCGUGGGGAGCAAACAGG